GGAGUCUAGCAUGUGCGCGAGUCAUUGGGACUAGCGAAACCUAAAGGCGUAAUGAAAGUGAAGGUCAGCCUCGCGCAGGCCGAGGGAGGAUGGGUCGCGCCACGGCGCGGCCCCGCACUCCCGGGGCGUCUCGUUCUCAUUGCGAGAAGAGGCGCACCCAGAGCGUACACGCUGGGACCCGAAAGAUGGUGAACUAUGCCUGGUCAGGACGAAGUCAGGGGAAACCCUGAUGGAGGUCCGUAGCGAUUCUGACGUGCAAAUCGAUCGUCGGAACUGGGUAUAGGGGCGAAAGACUAAUCGAACCAUCUAGUAGCUGGUUCCCUCCGAAGUUUCCCUCAGGAUAGCUGGCGCUCGCUUUGCGAGUCUCAUCCGGUAAAGCGAAUGAUUAGAGGCAUUGGGGUCGAAACGGCCUCAACCUAUUCUCAAACUUUAAAUGGGUGAGAUCUCCGGCUUGCUCGAACGUGAAGCCGCGAGAAUACAAACAAGGAUCAGAGUGCCAAGUGGGCCACUUUUGGUAAGCAGAACUGGCGCUGUGGGAUGAACCAAACGCCGAGUUAAAGCGCCUAAAUCGACGCUUAUGGGAUACCAUGAAAGGCGUUGGUAACUUAAGACAGCAGGACGGUGGCCAUGGAAGUC
rnacentral:rRNA from 1 species